rnacentral:misc_RNA from 1 species
GGUGGGUUUGAGUAACGGCAUGCCAGGUCUGCAAUUUCCUUGGAAUGAUAAUUGAUCUUAGAAUCUGUGAACUUGAGCCCAUGGGCAGUGCUCACGACAACGGUGCGAUCGUUGGUCUUGAUCACCCCCUGAUUCCGCAGCUUAAAAAGUGCAGCAAGGGCAACACCUGUAUGCGGGCAGGCAAACAUGCCAGUCUGAUCCGACAGCGCCAUGGCAUCCAUCAGCUCCUCCUCAGUAGCCU